rnacentral:rRNA from 1 species
UACGGGGGGGGUAAGCGUUGUUCGGAAUUACUGGGCGUAAAGGGCUCGUAGGCGGCCAACUAAGUCAUACGUGAAAUCCCUCAGCUUAACUGGGGGACUGCGUGUGAUACUGGAUGGCUUGGAUUUGGGAGAGGGAUGCGGAAUUCCAGGUGUAGCGGUGAAAUGCGUAGAUAUCUGGAGGAACACCGGUGGCGAAGGCGGCAUCCUGGACCGGUAUUGACGCUGAGGCGCGAAAGCUAGGGGAGCAAACGGG